rnacentral:tRNA from 1 species
UGCCCCAUGGCUGAGUUGGUUACAGCGUCCGACUGUUAUUUAUCCUUGUCGAUUCGACAUCGGAAGGUCGUGAGUUCGAGCCUCACUGGGGCAG